rnacentral:lncRNA from 1 species
CAUUGGCUUCGGCAACCUGCACCAGCGCCGGGUCGGAGAGUCAGAGGCCACCCUGAGAUGGACCGAGAUCUUCAGUUGGGGAGGCGCCUCCGGUGAGCUUGCGGCCAGAUGCCCCCUCAGUAGUCCUCCGCAACAGGUGCCGCGCAGCCGAGUGGCGGGCUAGCAUACCGCCUGCCCGCAAUUCGGCCAGGCCUCGAGCCUGCUCCGCCUUCCCGCUGCGGUAGCGCCGCCGGGGAAACGCCGCCACGGGCUGCAUGGGCAGCGCUCGCGCCCCGCCGCUGAGCCGCCGGGGAGCCGUCCAGUCUUCGAAUCCCAGAAACACAAAGAUGGUGCAGACCCAGGCCCUGCUUUGACUGGGAGAAAGAUGCAUUCAGUUGACUAAAACUUGAAUGUCAGGAGAAUUCAGUCACACCCAAAGCAGGAGGUAAUAAGACACCGAAGUGAGGACUUCACAGGCUGCUUGGGAGAAGACAAUCAUCCGUGGGCUUGGGAAAGGGAGAAAUGCCUACUGAGUUUAGGGAAUUGCUUGCUGGAAGAAAUGAUGAUGCGGGAGGCCAGAUGCGCAAGAUGGACACUCGGCUCCUCCUUCGUCCCCGCCUCUCCUCGCUUCCAGGGUAGCAGCCUCAACAAGGGAAACUAUUGUUCCAGUGGAGGCUGCGAGGAUGUCGGUGAUUUACGCGCCGAGCUGUAGCUGCAAAAGGACAAGGGCAAGUGCCGGCCCGACCUAGGGCCCACCGGUCUCUGGCUUGCUCUUGUGAGUAGGUGCACCCUGCCCGCUUGUGGUGGCCUCAGGGGUAAGAAAUCAGGACCCACCCAGUGAGAGAAAUAACCCAAGCUGUCAGCAACGCGGAAAGAAAUGGGCUAGCAACCUCUUAAAGCAUCCUCACGUACUGCGGCGAUGACUCUGUGCACAGACCAAGGAAGGAGAGAGGCCGCGGAAGUCAGGUAAAGUACUUCCUUGGUGGUCAGAUUCUGGAGGGCUAAACGUGUGUGUGCGUGAAUGAUCAAAAACAACCCUACUUGCGGUGUUGUUCAUGUGGAUGGUGACAAGUCCUACUGCUGGAUGGCGUCAGUGGGUUUCUCUCCGUGGUUCCGUAGCUACCUCAUAUGGCUUAGGGCGGAUUAUGCCAUGGGAUUUAUACCGGCACCCAACAUUAAGAGGGGCCUAAUUCUCCCUUAAGGGGGCAACGAAAGAGGAUAACAUGAGUGGGAAGUGUGCAAGGGACCUUCAGAGGGGGAAAGGGAGGAAACAGGUGAACCUUCUGGUACAGGCAAGGCUAGACAUCCCUGGUUUGAGGUGGUGAGGCUUUGGGGUCAGGCAAGGUGAGACAUCCCUGGUUUGAAGGUUUGAGGCUUUCAGGACAGGCAAGGCAAGCCAUCACCUGGUUUGAGUGGUUGAGCCUUCCGAGGCAGGCAAGGCAAGACAUCCUUGGUUUGAGGGGUUGAGCCUUCUGGGGCAGGCAAAGUGAGACACCCCUGCUUUGAGGGGUUGAGCCUUCCGCAGAUUUCAGGGGGUUGAACCUUACACAAACCUCUGGUGGUAAGAAAAAUACUCAAAACUCCCCUUUCCUUUCAUCUUGGGGAAAGAAAGAGUAGCUCCACUCCCACUGGUCCCUCCUCUAGAGGAAGGGGAAGGGGAAGGAGAGGAGAGAACAGCAGCAUGAGCGGCUGGCAGAGGCAGAGAAAGAGAAACAAAGUCAAAGAGAAAAAGAAGCAGAGAGAGACAGACAAACGGAAUCAGAGAGAGAAAGAGAGAGAUAGUGGUAAAGAGAAAACAGUGUAUCCUAUUCCUUUAAAAUCCAGGGUAAAUUAAAAACCUAUAAUUAAUAAUUGAAGGUCUUCUCAGGAACCUUGUAACACUACAAUACCACCUUGUUGUCAGUGUAAACAAGGGCAUAGCCCAAAAGCACUGAGGCCACUGACAAUCCCUAGCCUUCCUAAUAAAAAUUCUUAACCCAGUAACCUGCGGAUGGUCCAAAUACCUUCAAUCUAUUGUGUCCAAUGCUUUGCUAAUGGAAGAAAGUAGAAAAAUAACUUUUAGAGGAAGCCUCAUUGUGAGCCCACCUUAUCAGGUCAGAACUGUCUUAAAUUAAAAAAAAAAAAAAAGGCAAAAAUGUAGUCCUUACUGACUCAAGAAUCUUAAAGUGUGAGGCCAUUCUGCUAGAAAAAGAUGAUUUAACAUUAACCACUGAAAAUUCCCUUAACCCCUGUAGGUUUCCUAACAGGGGAUCUAAACCUUAAUUACCACACAAAGGUUGGACAAGUAGGUUUCUUAACAGGGAAUCUAAAUCUUAAUUACCACACAAAGGUCGGACCAUACCUAGGAGGAACUCCCUUCUGGACAGAAGGAUAGAUGGUUCCUCCCGGGUGAUUGAAGGAAAAAGACACAAUGGGUUUGAAACUCCUGUAGAAGCAGAGUUAGGAAAAUUGCCUUCUAAUUGGUCUGCUCAAACGUGCGACCUGUUUGCAUUCAGCAAAGCCUUAAAGUACCUACAGAAUCAGGAAGGAGCCAUCUAUACCAGUUCUAAGUUAAUGUGGACUGAACAGGUCUUACUAAUAGCAAAGAAUACUUGAAAUCCCAAACGUACAAAGUUUUCAACAAAAGUAAAAUUUGCUAAAAGUUAGCAGUGUAACAUGCUAACUUAACUUCUAAUCUUCUGUCCUUAGACAGUGUAGUCCCCAUGUCUGUGGACAUGAAGGAGGUUCACUUUGGAAAAGAAUGUUUAUCGUCUUUGAGAGAAAAAAAAAGGGGGGUAG